rnacentral:rRNA from 1 species
CCUGGCAGUCAGAGGCGAUGAAGGACGUGCUAAUCUGCGAUAAGCGUCGGUAAGGUGAUAUGAACCGUUAUAACCGGCGAUUUCCGAAUGGGGAAACCCAGUGUGUUUCGUCACACUAUCAUUAACUGAAUCCAUAGGUUAAUGAGGCGAACCGGGGGAACUGAAACAUCUAAGUACCCCGAGGAAAAGAAAUCAACCGAGAUUCCCCCAGUAGCGGCGAGCGAACGGGGAGCAGCCCAGAGCCUGAAUCAGUAUGUGUGUUAGUGGAAGCGUCUGGAAAGGCGCGCGAUACAGGGUGACAGCCCCGUACACAAAAAUGCACAUGCUGUGAGCUCGAUGAGUAGGGCGGGACACGUGGUAUCCUGUCUGAAUAUGGGGGGACCAUCCUCCAAGGCUAAAUACUCCUGACUGACCGAUAGUGAACCAGUACCGUGAGGGAAAGGCGAAAAGAACCCCGGCGAGGGGAGUGAAAAAGAACCUGAAACCGUGUACGUACAAGCAGUGGGAGCACGCUUAGGCGUGUGACUGCGUACCUUUUGUAUAAUGGGUCAGCGACUUAUAUUCUGUAGCAAGGUUAACCGAAUAGGGGAGCCGAAGGGAAACCGAGUCUUAACUGGGCGUUAAGUUGCAGGGUAUAGACCCGAAACCCGGUGAUCUAGCCAUGGGCAGGUUGAAGGUUGGGUAACACUAACUGGAGGACCGAACCGACUAAUGUUGAAAAAUUAGCGGAUGACUUGUGGCUGGGGGUGAAAGGCCAAUCAAACCGGGAGAUAGCUGGUUCUCCCCGAAAGCUAUUUAGGUAGCGCCUCGUGAAUUCAUCUCCGGGGGUAGAGCACUGUUUCGGCAAGGGGGUCAUCCCGACUUACCAACCCGAUGCAAACUGCGAAUACCGGAGAAUGUUAUCACGGGAGACACACGGCGGGUGCUAACGUCCGUCGUGAAGAGGGAAACAACCCAGACCGCCAGCUAAGGUCCCAAAGUCAUGGUUAAGUGGGAAACGAUGUGGGAAGGCCCAGACAGCCAGGAUGUUGGCUUAGAAGCAGCCAUCAUUUAAAGAAAGCGUAAUAGCUCACUGGUCGAGUCGGCCUGCGCGGAAGAUGUAACGGGGCUAAACCAUGCACCGAAGCUGCGGCAGCGACGCUUAUGCGUUGUUGGGUAGGGGAGCGUUCUGUAAGCCUGCGAAGGUGUGCUGUGAGGCAUGCUGGAGGUAUCAGAAGUGCGAAUGCUGACAUAAGUAACGAUAAAGCGGGUGAAAAGCCCGCUCGCCGGAAGACCAAGGGUUCCUGUCCAACGUUAAUCGGGGCAGGGUGAGUCGACCCCUAAGACGAGGCCGAAAGGCGUAGUCGAUGGGAAACAGGUUAAUAUUCCUGUACUUGGUGUUACUGCGAAGGGGGGACGGAGAAGGCUAUGUUGGCCGGGCGACGGUUGUCCCGGUUUAAGCGUGUAGGCUGGUUUUCCAGGCAAAUCCGGAAAAUCAAGGCUGAGGCGUGAUGACGAGGCACUACGGUGCUGAAGCAACAAAUGCCCUGCUUCCAGGAAAAGCCUCUAAGCAUCAGGUAACAUCAAAUCGUACCCCAAACCGACACAGGUGGUCAGGUAGAGAAUACCAAGGCGCUUGAGAGAACUCGGGUGAAGGAACUAGGCAAAAUGGUGCCGUAACUUCGGGAGAAGGCACGCUGAUAUGUAGGUGAAGUCCCUCGCGGAUGGAGCUGAAAUCAGUCGAAGAUACCAGCUGGCUGCAACUGUUUAUUAAAAACACAGCACUGUGCAAACACGAAAGUGGACGUAUACGGUGUGACGCCUGCCCGGUGCCGGAAGGUUAAUUGAUGGGGUCAGCGCAAGCGAAGCUCUUGAUCGAAGCCCCGGUAAACGGCGGCCGUAACUAUAACGGUCCUAAGGUAGCGAAAUUCCUUGUCGGGUAAGUUCCGACCUGCACGAAUGGCGUAAUGAUGGCCAGGCUGUCUCCACCCGAGACUCAGUGAAAUUGAACUCGCUGUGAAGAUGCAGUGUACCCGCGGCAAGACGGAAAGACCCCGUGAACCUUUACUAUAGCUUGACACUGAACAUUGAGCCUUGAUGUGUAGGAUAGGUGGGAGGCUUUGAAGUGUGGACGCCAGUCUGCAUGGAGCCGACCUUGAAAUACCACCCUUUAAUGUUUGAUGUUCUAACGUUGACCCGUAAUCCGGGUUGCGGACAGUGUCUGGUGGGUAGUUUGACUGGGGCGGUCUCCUCCUAAAGAGUAACGGAGGAGCACGAAGGUUGGCUAAUCCUGGUCGGACAUCAGGAGGUUAGUGCAAUGGCAUAAGCCAGCUUGACUGCGAGCGUGACGGCGCGAGCAGGUGCGAAAGCAGGUCAUAGUGAUCCGGUGGUUCUGAAUGGAAGGGCCAUCGCUCAACGGAUAAAAGGUACUCCGGGGAUAACAGGCUGAUACCGCCCAAGAGUUCAUAUCGACGGCGGUGUUUGGCACCUCGAUGUCGGCUCAUCACAUCCUGGGGCUGAAGUAGGUCCCAAGGGUAUGGCUGUUCGCCAUUUAAAGUGGUACGCGAGCUGGGUUUAGAACGUCGUGAGACAGUUCGGUCCCUAUCUGCCGUGGGCGCUGGAGAACUGAGGGGGGCUGCUCCUAGUACGAGAGGACCGGAGUGGACGCAUCACUGGUGUUCGGGUUGUCAUGCCAAUGGCACUGCCCGGUAGCUAAAUGCGGAAGAGAUAAGUGCUGAAAGCAUCUAAGCACGAAACUUGCCCCGAGAUGAGUUCUCCCUGACUCCUUGAGAGUCCUGAAGGAACGUUGAAGACGACGACGUUGAUAGGCCGGGUGUGUAAGCGCAGCGAUGCGUUGAGCUAACCGGUACUAAUGAACCGUGAGGCUUAACCUU